GAUGAACGCUGGCGGCGUGCCUAACACAUGCAAGUCGAACGGAAAGACGCGGCGCUUGCGGCUCUCACGUUAGCGGCGGGCGGGAGAGUCACACGUGGAUAACCUACAUAUCUGAGUGGGAUAACUUAGAGAACGCGGAGCUAAUAGCAGAAGAUAUAUUGAACCGCAUGGUUGGAUAGUGAAAGACGGUUUUGCUGGCACUUCUAGCUGGUUCCGAGCCGCAUUAGAUAGUUGGUACGGUGAAGGCUUUCCACGGCAACGAUGCGUAGCCGACCGGCGAGGGUGACCGGCCACACUGGAACUGAGACACCGGCCAGACUCCUACGGGAGGCCGCAGCAGGCAACUUGCGGCGACGGGCGAAAGCCUGACGCAGCAACGCCGCGUGAGUUAUGAAGGCCUUCGGAUCGUAAGACUCUGUUAUUAGGGAAGAACAACUUUUUUACGAACUAUGCACGUCUUGACGGUACCUAAUCAGAAAGCCUCGGCUAACUACGUG
rnacentral:rRNA from 1 species